CUCCCUCAGCCUUACUCCAGGGGCUUUUGCUGUAAAGUGCCCUGGCAUUGCCUGGGGGUACAUGAAAAAGCACAGAUCCCUCCCCAGGAAGACCCUGUUUUCUUGUGGGGCCUACGAACUGAGCUGACAGC